rnacentral:rRNA from 1 species
CCUACGGGAGGCAGCAGUGGGGAAUCUUCCGCAAUGGGCGAAAGCCUGACGGAGCAACGCCGCGUGAUCGAAUGAAGGCCUUCGGGUUGUAAAGAUCUGUUGCCAGGGACGAAUAAGCAAUGCGAAUAGUUUUGUGUAUGACGGUACCUGUUUAGAAAGCUCCGGCUAACUACGUGCCAGCAGCCGCGGUAAUACGUAGGGAGCAAGCGUUGUCCGGAAUUACUGGGCGUAAAGGGCGCGUAGGUGGGCGCUUAAGUCAGGUGUGAAAUCCUAUGGCUUAACCAUAGAACUGCAUUUGAAACUGU